rnacentral:tRNA from 1 species
UGGAUCACCUCCUAACAGGGAGACAAUACCUGAUCGUGAUGUCUGAGUACUUUAUUCCCAGGCCAUGAUCCUGUCAUCUCGAAGGUCGAUCGGUGCCUCAACUUGAGGGUAAGAGAAGGGAUGAGCAAUCAUCUUUGAGACUUGCCAAUCAAUUCCAGUUCCUAAACUUUGUCUAGGUCACCCCACAGGGCUGUCAAACAAACGUUUGACGCUACUGAGCGGUAGCAACUCCUGGGCCAUUAGCUCAGGUGGUUAGAGCGCACCCCUGAUAAGGGUGAGGUCCCUGGUUCAAGUCCAGGAUGGCCCAUUCGUGUUUGGGGGUUUAGCUCAGUUGGUAGAGCGCCUGCUUUGCAAGCAGGAUGUCAGCGGUUCGAGUCCGCUAACCUCCAUCCAAUGCUGUUGCUCUUCCCUCGGACCAUGCAUGCUCAUGAGAGUGUGUGAGGUAAGGAGUUUUGCUGUUGUGUUGAUCUAGAUCGUUGUUCGCUGAAGAUUUCAGCUUCUUUUCAUUCUUUCCUGGUUCAAGGAUAAGUUGAAAAGACGCUGAAUUCAAGGGUGCCCUGGCAACAGGGCCAUUUGAAUGUCAGCAGAACCUUGACAACUGCAUAGUUGAAGUCUGGAAAUAAAGCAUCUCAUGGAUGCUUGAUUCGGGCCUGAAGUCAAGUCCAGCAAUGGAUUUGAUGAAGGAUGGGAAUCAAGAAAAUUCUAUUGAGUUUUUAGAGCCGAGAGCUUCCAGUUUUCUUCUGAGCCCGCCGAGGGUUUGGGAGUUUGAUCCUGGCAUUCAAACCGCAAGCGAGAGUCUGAGCAAUCAGGGUUGAAGGUUGUAGGUGAAUCUAGAGAGAAUAGGCCUCAACAGCCUGAAGGACUGGGAGUUGAAAUUGGUCAAGCUACAAAGGGCUCACGGUGGAUACCUUGGCACACAGAGGCGAUGAAGG